AAUGGGAUAACUGGGUCAAAUGGUGGCUGCAUUUCAAGUUUUCUAGGAAUCUCCAGACUGCUUUCUAGACUGGUUGCACCUAGUUGCAAUCUCACCAGCAAU
rnacentral:pre_miRNA from 1 species